CAGUGGGAAUAUUGCACAAUGGGGGAAACCCUGAUGCAGCCAUGCCGCGUGUGUGAAGAAGGCCUUCGGGUUGUAAAGCACUUUCAGUAGGGAGGAAGGUAGUGUAGUUAACACAUGCACUAUUUGACGUUACCUACAGAAGAAGCACCGGCUAACUCCGUGCCAGCAGCCGCGGUAAUACGGAGGGUGCGAGCGUUAAUCGGAAUUACUGGGCGUAAAGCGCAUGCAGGCGGCCUGUUAAGUCAGAUGUGAAAGCCCGGGGCUUAACCUCGGAAUUGCAUUUGAAACUAGGCAGGCUAGAGUCUUGUAGAGGGGGGUAGGAAUUUCAGGUGUAGCGGUGAAAUGCGUAGAGAUCUGAAGGAAUACCAGUGGCGAAGGCGGCCCCCUGGACAAAGACUGACGCUCAGAUGCGAAAGCGUGGGGAGCAAACAGGAUUAGAUACCCUGGUAG
rnacentral:rRNA from 1 species